rnacentral:lncRNA from 1 species
GGACAAACUUCCCAGUUGAGGGAGAGGAGAGGCCGCAUCGGAGGGCGGAGGCGCAGAGAUGGGGCUGCGGGGGAGCAGGUCCCCAGAGGGCCCGGGCUGCGGGGGAGCAGGUCCCAGGGCCGCAGAGGGCCAGGCUGCGGGGGAGCAGGUCCCAGGGCCGCGGAGGGCCCGACUGCGGGGGAGCAGGUCCCAGGGCCGCGGAGGGCCGGGCUGUGGGGGAGCAGGUCCCAGGGCCGCGGAGGGCCCGGGCUGCGGGGGAGCAGGUCCCAGGGCCGCGGAGGGCCGGGCUGUGGGGGAGCAGGUCCCAGGGCCGCGGAGGGCCCGGGCUGCGGGGGAGCAGGUCCCAGGGCCGCGGAGGGCCGGGCUGUGGGGGAGCAGGUCCCAGGGCCGCGGAGGGCCCGGGCUGCGGGGGAGCAGGUCCCAGGGCCGCGGAGGGCCGGGCUGUGGGGGAGCAGGUCCCAGGGCCGCGGAGGGCCCGGGCUGCGGGGGAGCAGGUCCCAGGGCCGCGGAGGGCCGGGCUGUGGGGGAGCAGGUCCCAGGGCCGCGGAGGGCCCGGGCUGCGGGGGAGCAGGUCCCAGGGCCGCGGAGGGCCGGGCUGUGGGGGAGCAGGUCCCAGGGCCGCGGAGGGCCCGGGCUGCGGGGGAGCAGGUCCCAGGGCCGCGGAGGGCCGGGCUGUGGGGGAGCAGGUCCCAGGGCCGCGGAGGGCCCGGGCUGCGGGGGAGCAGGUCCCAGGGCCGCGGAGGGCCGGGCUGUGGGGGAGCAGGUCCCAGGGCCGCGGAGGGCCCGGGCUGCGGGGGAGCAGGUCCCAGGGCCGCGGAGGGCCGGGCUGUGGGGGAGCAGGUCCCAGGGCCGCGGAGGGCCGGGCUACGGGGGAGCAGGUCCCCAGAGGGCCCGGGCUGCGGGGGAGCAGGUCCCAGGGCCGCGGAGGGCCGGGCCGCGGGUAGCAGGUCCCAGGGCCGCCCACUCGGAAGCUGAGUGGCUGAAUUCCAGGGGGUCUCGCAAGCAGCAGGCCUGGCGCCAGGGUCCUAAAGGGCAUCUGGAACAGACUGAUGAGACACUAUGGACCACUCUCAAAAAAUAGAGGCAGUCACAAAGCUUGGGACUUUGCAUUUUUCAAGGAGUACACAACUAGUGUUUUCAUAUUGGUAUCACAAACUAUAUGUUCCAGAAACACUGAAGUAUGAGCUUAUUUUCCGGCAAUAAUUUGUUAAAGGCUGAAGAACUGGCAUUUACUAAAAGAAAAAAAAUAGUAAGUCAUUAACUUUGUUAUUUACCCUUCUGAGAACAUUGCUUCUGUAUAAUACAUUAAGAAUAUGUUUCAAAAAAUAGCUUAUAAAUGAAAGGUCAACAUACUGAAGCAAAUCAUCUAAUUACUUCAUGUCACAGAAUAAGAAAUAUUUUAAUUUCCAUAUUUUAUCCCUGGAUUUGAAUCAUUCCAAGACUUGACCAAAGAAAAGGGCAAUAAAAGAAAUGAAUCAAACA